UUAGAGACACUGAGCAGUAGGCCUGUUCAGUUCUGCUGCAGUCUGCCUCAAAGUUUGUUGGUCUGCAAGGGUUUUAGUCUUAGUGGUAAGCGAAGACGGGGCUUGGAAUGUCAUUUCUCCCUCUCUGCAGCUUGAGCUCCUGCACUUCUUUGGAGAAGAAUAUUAGACAAACCCUAUGACUACUGAGACACCUUUCCAGGAACCAGUGGGUUACACCCUAAAUUAUGUUUAUUUAGAUUAUUUCAAAUUAAAUGCAUCAAGAUUGCCUUGGCUUGAUAUAUCCACUGAUCAUUAUUUUUUCCUGGUAAAUGAAACAUUCAUUUAACCCAAAGUAGUGGCUGUGGACAAAAGUAAUCCAUAUUAGCAAUGCAUACCCUUAAUCCACACAUUUUCUGUGCUUUUCAUAUCAUAUAUGUGUUUGCUUUUAGUUCACCUAUGAUUGUCUUGACUCAAGGGUGACUGAAAGAAGACAGUACCAUUUCCUGUACCAGAUGGUCCCUAAUGAUGUCCAUGAGUACAAUGGGUUGGUCAAGUUACUUUUGCAUUUCAAAUGGACAUGGAUUGGUCUCUUUACUAUGGAAUACAUUACUGGAGAAUUUUUUUUGGAAGCAUUAGUUCCCCAGCUUACCCUGAAUUACAUCUGUGUUGAUUUUAUACGUAGAAUACGGCCAUUGCCUUAUGCUGAAGGAAUGAUGGAUUUGCUCCUUAGUGAAUUUAAUAAAAUUUCAAUUGUCAUGACAAGCAAAGCCAAUGUUUCUGUGGUCUAUGGUAGUUCCAUUUUGAUGGACAUUUUGAUCAGGUAUCUUCAUAUGGCACAAAUUUCUAUAGGUAAAGUAUGGCUUGUGACAAGUCAUUGGGAUUUCAAAACCACCAACGAAAGGAGGUGGAAUAUGCACCCUUUACAAGGUGCCUUAUCUGUAUCUAUACACUCAAAUGAACCCCUGGGAUUCAGGACAUUUCUUCAGAGUCUAAAUCCUUUUGAGGAAAAGCAAAAUGAUUUGAUCAAGGAUUUCUGGGAAAAGACCUUCAAUUGCUCAUUGAAAAAUAAUAAUGUGGGUGAAGAGCCUAAGAAACGUUGCACUGAGGAGGAGAAAUUGGAGAGUCUUCCAUUACAAAUCUUUGAAAUGAGCAUGACUGGCAGCAGCUAUGCUGUGUACAAUGUUCCUCACGCAGUGGCACAUGUUCUGCAUGCUAUGUAUCAAUCUAGAUUCAAACCCAAAUCACAGGUGGCUAGAGUGGAUUUGCAGAAUCUGCAGCCAUGGGAGGUAAUUUUACCCACAGCACAGUAUUUUCUGCUCUUGGGUGGCCUAGAACACCAUAUUAUUCCACAGCUGUGUAAAAAAAACCUUAAAAUCUCAUGUACAUAAACAGAUCUUACAGUCAAGGCUUUUUGUUUCCUAUCAAAUAGCUUGGUGAGAAUGGCUGGCUUCCCUGUUUGCUGUGUUAUACGUAGCACUUUCACUAAUAAAUCAUCCACUUUUAUGUCAUACCUCCUAUAUGGGCAAAUUUUGGUCAGGGCUGCUGAUCACAUCUUCAAUGCUGGCUAACAUACCAGGAACCCUUUUCUAAAGAAAGAAUCAGGAGAAUUUUUUUACCUUUUCAUCUUUUAUUAGAAAGCAUCUUCAUCAUGUUGAGUUUUUGCCUGCGCCUGAAAAUUAUUCAUUUGUCUCUUCCCAAGCUCCUUUGGCUUGGUGGAAAUGUAUCUUGCUGCCACACCAUCUUCAUUGAUACAUUUGGAUACUUCUGAACCUAUUGUUGUUUUGUGUGAUGGAUCCUAAGAGGGAUAUACAGGUUUUUGACCCUUCUACUGAAUCAGGUGGAGGCUGAGCCACCUCCAAGUAUGCAGAAGUGAUGACUCCUAAUGAGUUAGCUGCCAGAGGCCAAGCUGCCUACCUGAAAAAUAACUAUUACUCAGGUGUGACAGGCUGUUCCUCAAAGACCAAAUUUCUUAUGAUAUCUUGAUGACUUGCAGUUAUGCUCUGGGUGUGGUUCUAAGGCCCAUACUUUUAAUCUGACAGUUUCUGGUAGAGAGUGAUGGCACAACUUCCUUACAUGAGUUCAAUGGCUAGAAUAGUAAGAAAACUUUGCAAAAUAAUUCCUAAGAUUGAGGACCUAGUUUUUGUCCAUGACUGGUUAUAUUUGGAUGCAAUUUUAAAUCAAGAUACUGAACUGAACCUUUCAAAACUUCACUGUUUUUAAACAAAACUACCAAUAUUCUCUAAUAUUUUACAAAUUAACUUUAGAAUGACUUUUUAGGGUGAAACUAAAUUAAGGGUUUUUUAUUUCAUAAAAUGUCUGGACUGGCUACACACACACAACUAGUGCACACCUCUCUGAAAAUUAUGGUUGUAUUCACCACUCUGAGGAUUCAAACAUUUUACCCCUUUCUAUAUUUUUUGAAUGUAGCUCCAUCCCUUUCUAAGAAAUCUCACAUUCAACAACAGUGCUGGAGAGACAAUACAGUUUAACGAUAAUGGAGAGAUAAUGGCAGGAUUUGAUGUGACCAACUGGGUAAUGUUUCCAAAUCAAUCUUUUGGUAGAGUCAAAAUUGGAAGGCUGGAUCUUCAAGCUCCUCUAGGCAAGGAAUUAACAAUUCAGGAUGAACGCAUUGUGUGGCAUAGAACAUUUAACCAGGUGAGCUAGGAAGACUUGUAAAUCUUUUUCUCCCAAAUAACUGGAAAUGGAUUGUUGAAAUGUGCCUGAUGACUUUUAUUUCCAUAUUGUUACAUACACUCCAAUUACUGCACCCCAUUCUGCAAUCAGCAAAAGGUUUCAAGACUUCCAACUUCCAACAUGUACCCUGGGUUGGUUUCAUUUAAAGAGGGUCACUGGAGACUCAGGAAAUGCUUGUAAUGUAAGGCUAAUCUGUACAUAUAUUCACAGUAAGCAUAAGAAAUUGGUUCAUAGCCCUAAUUUCCAUUGAUUUCCCAUCCUUCCUCCCAUGAUCCCAGGGAUGGUCAGAGAUAAAACAUCAGCAAAUCAAUCAAAUGCAACAUUCAUAAUACAGAAAUAAAACAAGAACUAAUAAUUUAAUUGUGCACAUAAAAUAAAAAAGGCAAAGAAUAAAUGAAUAGCAGCUGGCCUUCUGAAAGAAGUGUCUUUUCAAUUGCCAGCCAAAGAGUAAAUGGUUGGCAGCAGAACUACUUAGGAAGGGGGAUUCAAAAAAUGGAACAUUAAAACUAAGAUGGCCCUGGGAUAUGCUGCUUACUCACAGUCUUCAGGUAGUAAUUUUAUAAAAUACGAGCAGGAAAAUAUAUGGGGAUAUCAUUCCCCAUCAAAUCUCCCCAGGCUCCAAUGGGAUUAGAACCACCAAUAUCACAGCAUUGUAUUGUCCUACUAGGGAAUUCAAGUCUAUGUCUCUUUCAGAAUCAGUUUCAGGAGUGCUAAUCAUUUGAUCACUUUCACAAACCCUUCAACGUCAUCUUUGGGCAUCAGAAGAAGACCAGCACCUUAAUCAUGGGCCAGCAGCAAAUUGGUAGCCAGUGCCAUUCUCUCAGCAGUGGUGUGACUGGUUGCCAAUACUGUGUCCCAGUAAGCAGUCAAGCAAUUUGCAUCAGCUUCAGCCUCUUGACCAGCCUCAAGGGAUUCCCCAC
rnacentral:lncRNA from 1 species